rnacentral:rRNA from 1 species
GGGUGAGUAACGCGUGGAAAACCUGCCGUAUACUGGGGGAUAACACUUAGAAAUAGGUGCUAAUACCGCAUAAGCGCACAGCUUCGCAUGAAGCAGUGUGAAAAACUGAGGUGGUAUACGAUGGUUCCGCGUCUGAUUAGCUAGUUGGUGGGGUAAAAGCCUACCAAGGCAACGAUCAGUAGCCGGCCUGAGAGGGUGAACGGCCACAUUGGGACUGAGACACGGCCCAAACUCCUACGGGAGGCAGCAGUGGGGAAUAUUGCACAAUGGGGGAAACCCUGAUGCAGCGACGCCGCGUGAGUGAAGAAGUAUUUCGGUAUGUAAAGCUCUAUCAGCAGGGAAGAAAUACUGACCAUAGGGUCAGCAGACGGUACUUGACUAAGAAGCCCCGGCUAACUACGUGCCAGCAGCCGCGGUAAUACGUAGGGGGCAAGCGUUAUCCGGAUUUACUGGGUGUAAAGGGAGCGUAGACGGCAGCGCAAGUCUGAAGUGAAAUGCCAGGGCUUAACCCUGGAACUGCUUUGGAAACUGUGCAGCUAGAGUGCAGGAGAGGUAAGUGGAAUUUCUAGUGUAGCGGUGAAAUGCGUAGAUAUUAGGAGGAACACCAGUGGCGAAGGCGGCUUACUGGACUGUAACUGACGUUGAGGCUCGAAAGCGUGGGGAGCAAACAGGAUUAGAUACCCUGGUAGUCCACGCUGUAAACGAUG